rnacentral:lncRNA from 1 species
ACGGAUCCUGGCCGGGCUAUUCAAUAAAGGGAGAGAUUAUACGAAUCCUGGCCGGGCUAUUCAAUAAAGGGAGAGAUUAUACGAAUCCUGGCCGGGCUAUUCACUAAAGGGAGAGAUUAUACGAAUCCUGGCCGGGCUAUUCACUAAAGGGAGAGAUUAUACGGAUCCUGGCCGGGCUAUUCACUAAAGGGAGAGAUUAUACGGAUCCUGGCCCGGCUAUUCACUAAACGGAGAGAUUAUACGAAUCCUGGCCGGGCUAUUCACUAAAAAGGGAGAGAUUAUACGAAUCCUGGCCGGGCUAUUCACUGAAGGGAGAGAUUAUACGAAUCCUGGCCGGGCUAUUCACUAAAGGGAGAGAUUAUACGAAUCCUGGCCGGGCUAUUCACUAAAGGGAGAGAUUAUACGAAUCCUGGCCGGGCUAUUCACUAAAGUGAGAGAUUAUACGAAUCCUGGCCAACUAUUCACUAAAGGGAGAGAUUAUACGAAUCCUGGCCAACUAUUCACUAAAGGGAGAUGUUAAGACACCUCUAGUGUCUUUAAGCCAAAC